UUUAUUUGAUUUUGCUUUGUCUUUAUUAUAGAGAACAUUGUAAUUCAGUUUUCACUCCCAUCAGAAGCACGGCGUGAUGAUGAAAUCACCUCAAUGCAUGCCAGGGAAUGGCCAGACAGUGGAAAAGGAAUGCAGCAUGCAAGGAAGGCAUGGGAAGAGCGAAGAUGUCUGGGAUUUGUGCCUGGCACAGGGCUGAUGCAUUUCAUGCUGAACAACACUCUCUUGGGCUGCAGUGGAAGAGAAGGAGAGAAAAAAAGUAGCUCCUGUGGAAUGAAGGGGCAUUGCUGG